rnacentral:misc_RNA from 1 species
UCUUGCAUUAGUCAAGCACUUGGAAAAUGAUGUAGCAGGUUCUACCAGUUCAUCAAAGUCUUAUGAAGAGUGGAGUGGUUCUCUUAAGAUAUCAAAUAUGGCUUUUGCUUGCCCCUACUGUCCAGAAACAAGAAACAGACAUUUUUCGUACAUAGAUCUCUUUCAGCAUGUAAAUAGUGUAGGAACCUGUAACUCUAUAACGCGAACUGCAAGUGACAGGGCCAACCAUCUUGCAUUAGCCAAGUCCGUGGAAGAUGAUGUAGCAGCUGGUAAAUUAAAAUCUUAUGAAGG